rnacentral:rRNA from 1 species
AUGAAAGCCACUGUUUUGAUUGCACAAGUCCCUGAACAAGAGUGGACGGGUAAAAAAAUACAGUAUAUUAAAGAAAACAAGGGUUCUGUUGAAUUUCAAGUAUUCAGUCUCACCAAUAAGAUACCGAGACUUGCAUCACAUUUGGAAUGACACAAAAAAGAUACUUCAUCAGAAAGAGGUCUACGAAGACUUGGGCAAACAUCGACGUUCGCUGGCUCAUGUGGCAAAGAGAAAAUAGAGUACGUUAUAAGAAAUUAA